rfam:Nicotiana attenuata strain TT chromosome 2, whole genome shotgun sequence.
UGGACAGAUUAUUGUAUUCGACUGUAUUCACGGCGUGAAGGAGAUUACACUGUUUUUAGACAGAAAGUGAAUCAAUUAACAUAAUAGACUCCU